UACGGGGGGGGCAAGCGUUGUUCGGAAUUACUGGGCGUAAAGGGUUUGUAGGUGGCCGGCUAAGUCAGACGUGAAAUCCCUCAGCUUAACUGGGGAACUGCGUCUGAAACUGAUCGGCUCGAGUGCAGGAGAGGAACGCGGAAUUCCAGGUGUAGCGGUGAAAUGCGUAGAUAUCUGGAGGAACACCGGUGGCGAAGGCGGCAUCCUGGACCAAUUCUGACACUAAGGAGCGAAAGCCAGGGGAGCAAACGGG
rnacentral:rRNA from 1 species